rnacentral:rRNA from 1 species
GGUCUUAGCUUGCUAAGGCUGAUGGCGACCGGCGCACGGGUGAGUAACACGUAUCCCACUUGAGGUCUACUCUUGGCCAGCCUUCUGAAAGGAAGAUUCAUUCAGGAUGGGAUCAUGAGUUCACAUGUCCGCAUGAUUAAAGGUAUUUUCCGGUAGACGAUGGGGAUGCGUUCCAUUAGAUAGUAGGCGGGGUAACGGCCCACCUAGUCAACGAUGGAUAGGGGUUCUGAGAGGAAGGUCCCCCACAUUGGAACUGAGACACGGUCCAAACUCCUACGGGAGGCAGCAGUGAGGAAUAUUGGUCAAUGGGCGAUGGCCUGAACCAGCCAAGUAGCGUGAAGGAUGACUGCCCUAUGGGUUGUAAACUUCUUUUAUAAAGGAAUAAAGUCGGGUAUGCAUACCCGUUUGCAUGUACUUUAUGAAUAAGGAUCGGCUAACUCCGUGCCAGCAGCCGCGGUAAUACGGAGGAUCCGAGCGUUAUCCGGAUUUAUUGGGUUUAAAGGGAGCGUAGAUGGAUGUUUAAGUCAGUUGUGAAAGUUUGCGGCUCAACCGUAAAAUUGCAGUUGAUACUGGAUGUCUUGAGUGCAGUUGAGGCAGGCGGAAUUCGUGGUGUAGCGGUGAAAUGCUUAGAUAUCACGAAGAACUCCGAUUG